GCUUUUUCUGAGGUGGCUGAAUCUAGAGUGUAUGAUGUUGGGAUUAAGGGUGUGAGAUUACUAGAUCAGUACACUGAUUGGUUUGGCAUCACCCUAAUUCUGAUAGUCUGGAUAAGAUGUUAUUUUCCCUUGUUGCUUUGCUACCUUCAGUCUGCCAUGAACUCUUGCCCCUCUGCCAUGUGCCACCCUGCCUUGAAGGCCGCCCAUUACCGACUGAAACCUCUACAAACUGUGAGCUAACCCUUUUAACUUUGGGUGGUGGGUAUUUUACUCAGCAACAAAAGCAAAGUAAAUAAGACAGCAAGUUACUGAUGAGUGAGGAAUCCAGCUGAGACCUUCUAAGACUACUCUCAAGAUUGGAUUCUCCAGUAACACAUUUGCCUGCAUCAAAAUGAUGAAAAAUAGACCCAGAGAAUAUUGGUGUGGCAGAGCUUUCCAAAGCAGCUUUUCUGGCAGAAAUCCAGGUGAGGCAGGGCCCCGCAUGGAACAUGGAAUGAAGAACAUGCCUUGUUUGCUCCCUCUCACAGAUGAGGCAGGGCCCAGCAGGAGGAGAACAGGUGACAAGAGGGUGGUGGAGCAAGGCCUGGUCAAGAAGAGGACUGUCUUCCUUCCCUCCCAUUCUCCAGAAAACUAUCAAGCAUGGGGUCCUGUGGGCCUUAGCUACUCUCUUGGCUCCAGUUACAGACAAGGUCCUUUUACCUCACCCUACACUUCCCUUAUCUCUACCAAUAUAAAUAAACAUGCUGCAUUUGCCUGGGGUCUUCUUCUCCCAUCAGGAGUUAGAGCCCCAGCUGGCCCCCCACCUUUGUUUCUCUUUGUUCUUUUGUAACUUUCUUUCUUUACCUUUUCUCAAUCUCCCACCGUCAUUUCACUAGUGGACCCUUCAGCCACACAGGCCAUGGCAGGUGGACAGUCCUGUGAGUCUUGAUACACAUCUAGUUUUAUGUAGUCCACAUCACAGAACCCAGAGCAGUUCCGACACCCUGAAAUUCUCCCACAUACUUUGUAGUCAGGCCUUCAUCACACCCAGCCCCUGGCAAAUACUGAUCUCUUCUCUGCUUCUGUGAAUUUGCUUUCUCCAUGGUGUUAUGUAAACUUCAUGAUGCAUAGUGUGACCUCAUAAGACUGACACUUUCUCUGGGCAAAAUGUCUUUGAGAUUUAUCCAUGUUGCUGCUUUUUGCUGGUUUGUUUGCAUCCACCUGACAAAGGAUAUUUGGAUUCUAGUUUUGUUGACUGUAAUAAAGCUGCUAUAAACUUUAAUGUGAAAAAGCUGCUCUAAAUGUAAGAGUCAUAUUAAAACAAAGGUAAUGUAUACUCCUUGAAACUUAUUGUUUCCUAGGGGCCAGGGAUUUAGCUCAGUGGUUCUGGUGCCUGCCUUGUAAGCACAAGGACUGGAGUUCAAUCUCCGGUACCAAAAAAAAAAAAAAAAAAAAGAAACUUAUAGUUGACUACAUUUUACUUGUAUCUGU
rnacentral:lncRNA from 1 species